GCCGGGCGCGGUGGCGCGUGCCUGUAGUCCCAGCUACUCGGGAGGCUGAGGCUGGAGGAUCGCUUGAGUCCAGGAGUUCUGGGCUGUAGUGCGCUAUGCCGAUCGGGUGUCCGCACUAAGUUCGGCAUCAAUAUGGUGACCUCCCGGGAGCGGGGGACCACCAGGUUGCCUAAGGAGGGGUGAACCGGCCCAGGUCGGAAACGGAGCAGGUCAAAACUCCCGUGCUGAUCAGUAGUGGGAUCGCGCCUGUGAAUAGCCACUGCACUCCAGCCUGGGCAACAUAGCGAG
rnacentral:SRP_RNA from 10 species